rnacentral:rRNA from 1 species
GGUGAACGCUGGCGGCGUGCCUAAUACAUGCAAGUCGAGUGAACAGACGAGGAGCUUGCUCCUCUGACGUUAGCGGCGGACGGGUGAGUAACACGUGGAUAACCUACCUAUAAGACUGGGAUAACUUCGGGAAACCGGAGCUAAUACCGGAUAAUAUAUUGAACCGCAUGGUUCAAUAGUGAAAGACGGUUUUGCUGUCACUUAUAGAUGGAUCCGCGCCGCAUUAGCUAGUUGGUAAGGUAACGGCUUACCAAGGCAACGAUGCGUAGCCGACCUGAGAGGGUGAUCGGCCACACUGGAACUGAGACACGGUCCAGACUCCUACGGGAGGCAGCAGUAGGGAAUCUUCCGCAAUGGGCGAAAGCCUGACGGAGCAACGCCGCGUGAGUGAUGAAGGUCUUCGGAUCGUAAAACUCUGUUAUUAGGGAAGAACAAAUGUGUAAGUAACUAUGCACGUCUUGACGGUACCUAAUCAGAAAGCCACGGCUAACUACGUG